AUGAACGCUGGCGGCGUGCCUAAUACAUGCAAGUCGAGCGAACAGACGAGGAGCUUGCUCCUCUGACGUUCGCGGCGGACGGGUGAGUAACACGUGGAUAACCUACCUAUAAGACUGGGAUAACUUCGGGAAACCGGAGCUAAUACCGGAUAAUAUAUUGAACCGCAUGGUUCAAUAGUGAAAGACGGUUUUGCUGUCACUUAUAGAUGGAUCCGCGCCGCAUUAGCUAGUUGGUAAGGUAACGGCUUACCAAGGCAACGAUGCGUAGCCGACCUGAGAGGGUGAUCGGCCACACUGGAACUGAGACACGGUCCAGACUCCUACGGGAGGCAGCAGUAGGGAAUCUUCCGCAAUGGGCGAAAGCUUGACGGAGCAACGCCGCGUGAGUGAUGAAGGUCUUCAGAUCGUAAAACUCUGUUAUUAGGGAAGAACAAAUGUGUAAGUAACUAUGCACGUCUUGACGGUACCUAAUCAGAAAGCCACGGCUAACUACGUG
rnacentral:rRNA from 1 species